UACGGAGGGGGCUAGCGUUGUUCGGAAUUACUGGGCGUAAAGCGCACGUAGGCGGCUUUGUAAGUUAGAGGUGAAAGCCCGGGGCUCAACUCCGGAAUUGUCUUUAAGACUGCAUCGCUAGAAUUGUGGAGAGGUAAGUGGAAUUCCGAGUGUAGAGGUGAAAUUCGUAGAUAUUCGGAAGAACACCAGUGGCGAAGGCGACUUACUGGACACAUAUUGACGCUGAGGUGCGAAAGCGUGGGGAGCAAACAGG
rnacentral:rRNA from 1 species